AGUGGUUAGAGUGUAGGGGAGGCAGGUAGCCUAGUGGUUAGAGUGUAGAGGAGGCAGGUAGCCUAGUGGUUAGAGUGUAGGGGCGGCAGGUAGCCUAGUGGUUAGAGUGUAGGGGCGGCAGGUAGCCUAGUGGUUAGAGUGUAGAGGUGGCAGGUAGCCUAGUGGUUAGAGUGUAGAGGGGGCAGGUAGCCUAGUGGUUAGAGUGUAGAGGGGGCAGGUAGCCUAGUGGUUAGAGUGUAGAGGUGGCAGGUAGCCUAGUGGUUAGAGUGUAGAGGAGGCAGGUAGCCUAGUGGUUAGAGUGUAGAGGAGGCAGGUAGCCUAGUGGUUAGAGUGUAGAGGCGGCAGGUAGCCUAGUGGUUAGAGCGUUGGACUAGUAACCGGAAGGUUGCACGUUCAAACCCCCGAGCUGACAAGGUACACAUCUGUCGUUCUGCCCCUG
ensembl:lncRNA